rnacentral:rRNA from 1 species
UACGGAGGGUGCAAGCGUUAUCCGGAAUCACUGGGUUUAAAGGGUGCGUAGGCGGCCUGAUAAGUCAGAGGUGAAAUGCUAUCGCUUAACGAUAGAAUUGCCUUUGAUACUGUCGGGCUUGAAUCAGAAUGAGGUUAGCGGAAUGUGACAUGUAGCGGUGAAAUGCAUAGAUAUGUCAUGGAACACCGAUUGCGAAGGCAGCUAACUGGCACUUGAUUGACGCUGAGGCACGAAAGCGUGGGGAGCGAACAGG